rnacentral:rRNA from 1 species
GACGAACGCUGGCGGCGUGCUUAACACAUGCAAGUCGAACGGAAAGGCCCUGCUUUUGUGGGGUGCUCGAGUGGCGAACGGGUGAGUAACACGUGAGUAACCUGCCCUUCACUUUGGGAUAACUUCAGGAAACUGGGGCUAAUACCGGAUAGGAGCUCCUGCUGCUUGGUGGGGGUUGGAAAGUUUCGGCGGUUGGGGAUGGACUCGCGGCUUAUCAGCUUGUUGGUGGGGUAGUGGCUUACCAAGGCUUUGACGGGUAGCCGGCCUGGGAGGGUGACCGGCCACGUUGGGACGGAGAUGCGGCCCAGACUCCUACGGGAGGCAGCGGUGGGGAGUGGUGCACAAUGGGCGGAGGCCUGAUGCAGCAACGCCGCGUGCGGGAUGACGGCCUUCGGGUUGUAAACCGCUUUCGCCUGUGACGAAGCGUGAGUGACGGUAAUGGGUAAAGAAGCACCGGCUAACUACGUG